GGAAGGGGGGGGGCGGUGUCUGGAAGCAAGUGACAUCCAGGUGACAGAGGGAGAAGGAGAGGUCAAAGGUCAAAAGUCGGGAAAAAUGGGUUCCGUAAUUCAUGAAUGGACCCUCACUACUUUUCAGCAAACAAGGAAAGUGAUGAAAAGUGCAAGAUGCUUUGCCAUAAAUCCAACCCUCAUUAGUUAUUGUUAACAUUGGUUUUCAGGUCAAUAAAGGCAUUUUCUUUUGUGCGAGUGUGCCGCUUUCACCCGGGGAAUCCCAAAAUGUAGGGAUAUUUUGGAAAUCGAGGCCACUCUUUUGUCUUCCAGAAGAACAAGGAAAACGUUGGCGAACUCGAAGGCUCGGGACUUCUGAUAGUUCGGUCAGUUGAAGUUGAGCAGUUGUCGGGUGUGAGCUGGAGUGUGAAAGGAUAGAAAGAUCGGAAAAAUUUAUUUUUAGAUUCUUGUGCUUCCAAUUUUGAGUAUUGUGAAAUACGUUUUGAUAUGUUAGCGGAAAUUACAUUCAUAUCUGGACGGCGUGUGAUAAACGUGUGAUUGAAGUGCGUUACCUUCAGUGUAGUUUCGUGUUCGGUAUUUCAUUAUAGUAGUUUUUCUCGGUGAACUAACCUGUAAAUAUAGAAGGUGCAGUGAAAAGUUGAACAUCCUCUUUUUCCGCUAGUUUUCUAUCCGCCGAUAGUUUUAGUCUUCGAACCUCUAGUUUUUCAGUCCAGUUCAGUAGUGUGCUAUGUUUUACAGUCAGUGGAGUCAGUUAUUUGUCACUCGAAAUUCCUGGUUUUCUACAGUAUCUCUGGUCUAUUUUAUCGCUUUUUUCCUUAAAAAUUUGAAGUUGGCAUACAUUUCGCAAGAAAAAAUUAUCAUCAGAAUGUCUCAGAAUGUUGAUAAAUUAUUAUUUUGACUUCAAAUGUCUCGAAAUUUCUAGUUUUCUACAGUAUUAUGGUCUGUUUUAUUGCUUUGUUUGAUAACUUGAAGUUGAUUAAAAUUUAACAGAAAGAACUAUCAUUUCUAGCUCAGCCACAAAAGAACGUUUCUAUCAGGGGUAGUAAGUUUUUUCCGCAAAAUACAGUUCGAACAAUGUCUCAUGCCCCUCUCCUGAGCACUUUUAAUGUAUGAAUAAGACUUAUACUAAAUUAAAAUUCUAAGCACUGGCACGCAAACUGUUUAUAACAUUCCAC
rnacentral:lncRNA from 1 species